rnacentral:rRNA from 1 species
AGCCCCUCUCUAGCCCAGCAACACCACUCAAUUCACAUAAUAAAUUUUUCCCCAUCACCAACUAAAACAUUUCACACACCUAGUAUAGGCGAUAGAAAAGUGACCCUGGCGCUAUAGAAGCAACCGUACCGUAAGGGAACGAUGAAAUAUUAAUGAAAUACCUAAGCAUAAAAAAGCAAAGAUCAACCCUUGUACCUUUUGCAUCAUGAUUCAGCGAGUAACCCUCAAGCAAAGUGACCUUAAGCUUGCCACCCCGAAACCUGAGCGAGCUACUUACGAGCAGCUAACAUUUGAGCCAACCCGUCUCUGUCGCAAAAGAGUGGGACGACUUGUCAGUAGAGGUGAAAAGCCAAACGAGCCAGGUGAUAGCUGGUUGCCUGUGAAAUGAAUUUCAGUUCAUCCUUGAUUACUCCACACAGCCAACUAGACUAAACUGCACAUGCAGCUAAAUCAAGAGUUAUUUAAAGGAGGUACAGCUCCUUUGAAAAAGAACACAACCUCAUACAGCGGAUAAACAACUGAACUUAUGCACAACUGUUGGCCCUAAAGCAGCCAUCAAUAAAGAGUGCGUCAAAGCUCCAUCAUAAAAAAAUUCAUACACUUAAUGAAUCCCUUCCUGCUAACAGGCCAACCUAUUACUAUAGGAGAAUUAAUGCUGGAAUAAGUAACUAGGGCCCACCCCUCUCAAGCGCAAACUUACAUUUCAAAUUAUUACUCAAAGCAUGAUAACCUUACCUCAACAAGAACACUCUAUCCCCACCCCUGUUACACCAACUCAGGAGCGCAAAUUAGAAAGAUUUAAAUCUGUAGAAGGAACUAGGCAAACCCAAGGCCCGACUGUUUACCAAAAACAUAGCCUUCAGCCCACCAAGUAUUGAAGGUGAUGCCUGCCCAGUGACCCACACCUCACGUUCAACGGCCGCGGUAUCCUAACCGUGCAAAGGUAGCACAAUCAAUUGUCCCAUAAAUCGAGACUUGUAUGAAUGGCUAAACGAGGUCUUAACUGUCUCCUACAGAUAAUCAGUGAAAUUGAUCUUCCUGUGCAAAAGCAGGAAUAACUUCAUAAGACGAGAAGACCCUGUGGAACUUAAAAACCGCAGCCAUCGCACACUCCAACCCAAGCCAACCUGGCCUUCUCCUUCUAGCUACCAUUGGCCUGCAUUUUUUGGCUGGGGCGGCCCUGGAGCAGAAAAAACCCUCCAGAAAUAAGACCCUACUCUUAACCUAGAGCAACCACUCAACGUGCAAACAGCNACCCUGACCCAGUAUUACUGACCAAUGAACCAAGCUACCCCAGGGAUAACAGCGCAAUCCCCUUCAAGAGCCCAUAUCGACAAGGGGGUUUACGACCUCGAUGUUGGAUCAGGACACCCUAAUGGUGUAGCCGCUAUUAAGGGUUCGUUUGUUCAACGAUUAAUAGUCCUACGUGAUCUGAGUUCAGACCGGAGCAAUCCAGGUCGGUUUCUAUCUAUGACAGAUUUUUUCUAGUACGAAAGGACCGAAAAAAUAAGGCCACUGCCAUUAGUAUGCCUUCCCCCCAAGCAAGGAAUCCAACUCAAAUGCCAAAGGGACUAACAUCACCAAUCCUAAAAAAGGAUAG